UACGUAGGGUGCAAGCGUUUGUCCGGAAUUAUUGGGCGUAAAGAGCUCGUAGGCGGUUUGUCGCGUCUGCCGUGAAAGUCCGGGGCUCAACUCCGGAUCUGCGGUGGGUACGGGCAGACUAGAGUGAUGUAGGGGAGACUGGAAUUCCUGGUGUAGCGGUGAAAUGCGCAGAUAUCAGGAGGAACACCGAUGGCGAAGGCAGGUCUCUGGGCCAUUACUGACACUGAGAAGCGAAAGCAUGGGGGAGCGAACAGG
rnacentral:rRNA from 1 species